rnacentral:rRNA from 1 species
AGAGUUUGAUCCUGGCUCAGAACGAACGCUGGCGGCGUGGCUAAGACAUGCAAGUCAAACGGUCCAGCACUUAUUUGUUUACAAAUUAGUGCUGGAUAGUGGCGAAAGGGUUAGUAAUGGAUAGGUAACGUGCCCUCUGCUUCGGGACAGCGUCAUUCGCCUUCGGGCGAAUUUCCGAAAGGGGCGGUAAUACCGAAUAAUAUCAUUUGUUGAUGGACAGAUGUUCAAAGAUUUAUCGGUAGAGGAGCGGCCUAUCUCCUAUCAGCUUGUUGGUGAGGUAAUGGCUCACCAAGGCUUUGACGGGUAGCGGGACUGAGAGGUUGGCCCGCAACAUCGGGACUGAGACACUGCCCGGACCUCCACGGAGGGCUGCAGUAACGAAUCUUGCGCAAUGGGCGAAAGCCUGACGCAGCGACGCCGCGUGCGGGAGGAAGUCCCUCGGGAUGUAAACCGCUGUCAGGGGGAAGAAAGUCCACUUCGGUGGAUUGAUCUAACCCAGAGGAAGUCACGGCUAACUUCGUGCCAGCAGCCGCGGUAAGACGAAGGUGGCUAGCGUUGUUCGGUAUUACUGGGCUCAAAGCGUGUGUAGGCGGAAAAGUAAGCGUCCUGUGAAAGCCCCCGGCUUAACCGGGGAAUUGCUUGGCGAACUGCUUUUCUUGAGGCAAGUAGGGGUGCAUGGAACUCUUGGUGGAGCGGUGGAAUGCGUAGAUAUCAAGAGGAACGCCAGCGGUGAAAACGGUGCACUGGGCUUGUUCUGACGCUGAGACACGAAAGCGUGGGGAGCGAACGGGAUUAGAUACCCCGGUAGUCCACGCCGUAAACGAUGUCUACUAGUUGUGGAGGUUCUGACGCCGCCACGGCCGAAGCAAAAGUGUUAAGUAGACCGCCUGGGGAGUACGGUCGCAAGGCUAAAACUCAAAGGAAUUGACGGGGGCUCCACACAAGCGGUGAAGCAUGUGGAUUAUUCGAAGCACGCGCAGACCUUACCUGGGUUUGACUGCUUGAUGCCGCUGAAACGGUUGGCUGCUCGGUGAACUGCACAAGUGUGCAUGCUUGUCGUCAGCUCUAUCUGAGAAUGUCCGGUAAGUUCUUUA